rnacentral:rRNA from 1 species
UACGAAGGGGGCUAGCGUUGCUCGGAAUUACUGGGCGUAAAGCGCGCGCAGGCGGUUCGAUAAGUUGGGGGUGAAAUCCCCGGGCUCAACCCGGGAAUUGCCUUCAAGACUGUCGAGCUAGAGGACGAGAGAGGUGAGUGGAAUUCCCAGUGUAGAGGUGAAAUUCGUAGAUAUUGGGAAGAACACCGGUGGCGAAGGCGGCUCACUGGCUCGUUUCUGACGCUGAGGCGAGAACGGAUGGGGAGCAAACAGGG